UUUCCAAUUUGCUUCUAAGCAGUAAAACAUUGUGUUCAACGCGUUACUAUUAUACGAUAUAUAUUAGUAUGUCACGAUAAAAUGCAUAUCUAUCAAAAGAAUGACAGACUUCAUUACCGUGACAUUAGAAGCUGUUUUUUUGAUCCAAAGAAAUAUCACGAACAGCAUUGAAACUUUUUUAAGGGUAUACAGUUUCUGGUUUUUUUUUUGUAUCUUCGUGGAACCAAUGGCAACCAUUUACCCUUCUACUUUGUAGCGCAUAUAUUUAAAAGAGUCUGUUCAGCGAAAAGGGUCGCCUUACAGAAACAACACUGCGCACCCUUCGGACACGCACGGAGUCAUAUACAUACAUAUCAAGCAUAAACCUAUGAAUAACUGGAGUUGUUAUAAGUCUAUUAAUAAGACAAAAUUCUUCUGAGCAUUGUACCAGACACGUGUAACGGUAAGCUUGGUGAAUGCAGUUGUGAAUUUUUUUGAAACUAUUCUUGCAAAACCUGUUAUCGCUAUACGCACUAUACCUACAUUCUAUAGGUCUAUAAUAAUCCCCCUAGUGUCAGGAUCCUAUGGUAUCUCCUGGAUAACAAUUCCUUAUAAUAAUUAUUCUACCUGCUUAUAAUACCGUAUAGUAUUAUAUCCGCCUUAUAAUACGCUGCACUUUUUUCUCCUUUAAUAUAUUAUAUAUAAAGAAUAUAUAUAUUAUAUAAUAAAAUAUAUAAACUCUGACAUAAUUAUCUAGUGAGCAUUCCUGUUUCUGUAAGAGAAAAUAUAAUCAAGCAAUGCGUUUCAUAGUUUCUGACAGAUUCUAAUUGAAACGCGCCUUGGCAGUACUUGAUUCUGAUUGGUUGGUUUCCUUACGUCUUACGUCGUUACCUUGUUUUGUGUGUGAAGGGCUGUACUGACAGCCCGUGCGUAAGUCUCUUUUUUUUUCUUCAAAGUUUACCUUUCACGCGGGUAUCAUUUAUCGAAGGGAAGGUGUGUCGUUGAUUCAAAGUGAUUGUUCAUCUCGAAAAGGCUCUCAUUGCGGAUGGUGGAUAAUUGAGGAAAUUUAUUCUACGGGAAAGUCUCCGAUCGGAUUUCAGCUAGGCGCAUAUGUAAUAAUCGUGUCAUCAGGGUCAAAGUUCAAGGUAAUCGUGUUACCUGCAUCCACAACGUUAGCUGCACGCAUAGGUUGUAGCUAACGUAUACAAGCUGGCUUGGGUCGUUCUAGUCUGGUAGCCACGCGGUCACAGGUUCGCGUUACAAGGACGUGGAAAUAUUUUGUGAAGUGAUACGAGAAGCGUGUUAAGAAGAACUCGAGGGUGCAUCGAGGAUCCAAGAGAAAUUCACAACAGUAGAGUUUCACAAGUAUUAGCACUGCGUGUCUGAUGAUCUGUCACGGUGGAAAGUCCUGACAAGAGCUACUAAAGAGAGGGGUCUUUUGAAAAGGACUUUACAUCUUUUUAAGAUAGUAAUCCAAAAGGAACUGGGUCAACGUCUAUUUCGUUUCUUAAUGAUAGCACGUGGUCCGCUGACAAUCAAUAUGGAGAUUAUUUGAUACUGUAUUUUUAUAAAAUCACAUUCGGUUUGAGGAUCUGA